rnacentral:rRNA from 1 species
GAUGAACGCUGGCGGCGUGCCUAAUACAUGCAAGUCGAGCGAAUGGAUUAAGAGCUUGCUCUUAUGAAGUUAGCGGCGGACGGGUGAGUAACACGUGGGUAACCUGCCCAUAAGACUGGGAUAACUCCGGGAAACCGGGGCUAAUAGCGGAUAACAUUUUGAACCGCAUGGUUCGAAAUUGAAAGGCGGCUUCGGCUGUCACUUAUGAAUGGUCCCGCGUCGCAUUAGCUAGUUGGUAGGGUAACGGCUCACCAAGGCAACGAUGCGUAGCCGACCUGAGAGGGUGAUCGGCCACACUGGGACUGAGACACGGCCCAGACUCCUACGGGAGGCAGCAGUAGGGAAUCUUCCGCAAUGGACGAAAGUCUGACGGAGCAACGCCGCGUGAGUGAUGAAGGCUUUCGGGUCGUAAAACUCUGUUGUUAGGGAAGAACAAGUGCUAGUUGAAUAAGCUGGCACCUUGACGGUACCUAACCAGAAAGCCACGGCUAACUACGUGCCAGCCGCCGCCGUAA